AUUGAACGCUGGCGGCAGGCCUAACACAUGCAAGUCGAACGAGUGGCGGACGGGUGAGUAAUGUCUGGGAAACUGCCUGAUGGAGGGGGAUAACUACUGGACACGGUAGCUAAUACCGCAUACCAUCAGAUGUGCCCAGAUGGGAUUAGCUAGUUGGUGGGGUAACGCCUCACCAAGGCGACGAUCCCUAGCUGGUCUGAGAGGAGGACCAGCAAAACUGUAACUGAGACACGGCCCAGACUCCUACGGUAGGCAGCAGUGGGGAAUAUUGCACAAUGGGCGCAAGCUGGAUGCAGCAAUGCCGCGGGUAUGAAGAAGGCCUUCGGGUUGUAAAGGACUUUCAGCGGGGAGGCGGUACCCGCAGAAGAAGCACCGGCUAACUCCGUGCCAGCAGCCGCGGUAAUUC
rnacentral:rRNA from 1 species